UACGUAGGGGGCAAGCGUUGUCCGGAAUCAUUGGGCGUAAAGCGCGCGUAGGCGGCCCGGUAAGUCCGUUGUGAAAGUCAAAGGCUCAACCUUUGAACGCCGAUGGAUACUGCCGGGCUAGAGUCCGGAAGAGGCGAGUGGAAUUCCUGGUGUAGCGGUGAAAUGCGCAGAUAUCAGGAGGAACACCGGUGGCGAAGGCGGGUUGCUGGGCUGACACUGACGCUGAACUGCGAAAGCUAGGGGAGCAAACAGG
rnacentral:rRNA from 1 species